CUAAGGAGUGGCUCCGUAAGAAGCAUCUCAAGGUCCUGGAGUGGCCUAGCCAGUCUCCAGACCUGAACCCCAUAGAUCUUUGGAGGGAGCUGAAAGUCUAUACUGCCUACCGACAGCCCCGAAACCUUAAGGAUCUGGAGAAGGUCUGUAUGUAAGAGUGGGCCAAAAUCCCUGCUGCAGUGUGUGCAAACCUGGUCAAGAACUACAGGAAACGUAUGAUCUCUGUAAUUGCAAACAAAAGUUUCUGUACCAAAUAUUAAGUUCUGCUUUUCUGAUGUACCGUCUCUCACAGUUGAAGGGUACCUAUGAUAGAAAUUACAAACCUCUACAUGCUUUGUAAGUAGGAAAACCUGCAAAAUCAAUAGUGUAUCAAAUACUUGUUCUCGCCACAAUACCUGUGGCAGGAGAGGAGAGGAUGUUAGGGGCAUACUCCACCCAGUGUAGUUGUUUGGAGCAGGAGAAGGGAUUAUGGGCCAUGACGCAGCAAAGAGGUUCCCAGGUCCUGUCUGCUGUCUCUGAAAAAGAGGGCAGUUUGGGGAAAAAUAAACAGCCUUAGAAAUUCUGUCUACUAUUGUCAUGAUUACAGUGUGCCCUUCAGAGGAGGGCAGGCCAGUAACAGUCCAAAGUGAUGUGCGAUCAAGGUGGACUUUGGAUGGGGAGGCGCUGCAGGAGACCUGCUGGAGGCUGUGAGCAACUGAGUUGAAGCACCCAGAGAAGGUAUAAACGCUGGGUAUUCGGCUCAAAGACACCCUGCUAACUGGCACUGCAGCAAGUUGAACCUCAUCUGAUCAUCACAACAAGUCCUUUUUGUAGGUUUUGUCAACAAUUUGAAAAUUAAAGAAAAUCGCCAGCAGCGUUUGUGCAAUUUUCUUGGUGGGAAUCUGGCUUCCCUUCAAACCGCAGACGAGUACAAGUU